rnacentral:rRNA from 1 species
GUCCACGCCCUAAACGAUGAUGACUAGUUGUUGGAGGAGUUAAAUCCUUUAGUAACGCAGCUAACGCGAGAAGUCAUCCGCCUGGGGAGUACGGUCGCAAGAUUAAAACUCAAAAGGAAUUGAACGGGGGCCCCGCGACAAGCGGUGGAUGAUGUGGUUUAAUUCGAACGCAACGCGAAAAACCUUACCUACCCUUGACAUGUACGGAACCUCAUAGAGAUGUGAGGGUGCCCGAAAGGGAGCCGUAACACAGGUGCUGCAUGGCUGUCGU